UACGUAGGGUGCGAGCGUUAAUCGGAAUUACUGGGCGUAAAGCGUGCGCAGGCGGUGCACCAAGCUCGAUGUGAAAGCCCCGGGCUUAACCUGGGAAUUGCAUUGAGGACUGGUGUGCUCGAGUGCGGGAGAGGGGGGUGGAAUUCCACGUGUAGCAGUGAAAUGCGUAGAGAUGUGGAGGAACACCGAUGGCGAAGGCAGCCCCCUGGGCCGACACUGACGCUCAUGCACGAAAGCGUGGGGAGCAAACAGG
rnacentral:rRNA from 1 species